rnacentral:tRNA from 1 species
GGCUCGUUGGUCUAGGGGUAUGAUUCUCGCUUUGGGUGUGAGAGGUCCCAGAAUCAAAUCCAGGAUGAGCCC